UACGUAGGGUGCAAGCGUUGUCCGGAAUUAUUGGGCGUAAAGAGCUCGUAGGCGGUUUGUCGCGUCUGCUGUGAAAACUCGGGGCUUAACUCCGGGCCUGCAGUGGGUACGGGCAGACUAGAGUGCGGUAGGGGAGACUGGAAUUCCUGGUGUAGCGGUGGAAUGCGCAGAUAUCAGGAGGAACACCAAUAGCGAAGGCAGCUCGCUGGGACGUACUGACACUGAGGCGCGAAAGCGUGGGGAGCGAACAGG
rnacentral:rRNA from 1 species